CCUACGGGAGGCAGCAGUAAGGAAUAUUGGACAAUGCUCGCAAGAGUGAUCCAGCCAUGCCGCGUGCAGGAAGAAUGCCCUAUGGGUAGUAAACUGCUUUUGAACUAGAGAAAAUCCCAGUACGUGUACUGGGCUGAUAGUAUAGUUAGAAUAAGCAUCGGCUAACUUCGUGCCAGCAGCCGCGGUAAGACGAAGGAUGCAAGCGUUAUCCGGAUUCAUUGGGUUUAAAGGGAGCGUAGGUGGACUGAUAAGUCAGUGGUGAAAUCUCCGAGCUUAACUCGGAAAUUGCCAUUGAUACUGUUGGUCUUGAGUACAGUUGCUGUGGGCGGAAUAUGACAUGUAGUGGUGAAAUACAUAGAGAUGUCAUAGAACACCGAUUGCGAAGGCAGCUCACAAAGCUGUAACUGACACUGAGGCUCGAAAGUGCGGGGAUCAAACAGGAUUAGAUACCCUGGUAGUCCGCACCGUAAACGAUGAUUACUCGCUGCUAGGGGGCAACCUUUAGUGGCUUAGCGAAGCGANAAGUAAUCCACCUGGGGAGUACGCCGGCGACGGUGAAACUCAAAGGAUUGACGG
rnacentral:rRNA from 1 species